UACGGAGGGUGCAAACGUUGCUCGGAAUCAUUGGGCGUAAAGCGCACGUAGGCGGCCGACUAAGUCAGGUGUGAAAGCCCUCGGCUCAACCGAGGAAGUGCACUUGAAACUGGCCGGCUUGAAUAUGGAAGAGGGUUGCGGAAUUCCCGGUGUAGAGGUGAAAUUCGUAGAUAUCGGGAGGAACACCAGUGGCGAAGGCGGCAACCUGGGCCAAUAUUGACGCUGAGGUGCGAAAGCGUGGGGAGCAAACAGG
rnacentral:rRNA from 1 species